rnacentral:rRNA from 1 species
GCAUAGCUGUAAACUUUGAUGAAUAAUUACAUUAUCAUUCGCCAGGGUACUACGAGCACCAGCUUAAAACCCAAAGGACUUGGCGGUGCUUUAGACCCACCUAGAGGAGCCUGUUCUAGAACCGAUAACCCCCGUUAAACCUCACCCUCUCUAGUUAAUUCCGCCUAUAUACCGCCGUCGUCAGCUUACCCUGUGAAGGACAGAUAGUAAGCAAAACCAGUAAUACUCAAAACGUCAGGUCGAGGUGUAGCAUAUGAGAGGGGAAGAAAUGGGCUACAUUCCUUGCUUCAAGGAAAACGGAUAAUAUAAUGAAAUAUAUAUUAGAAGGAGGAUUUAGCAGUAAGCAGCAAGUAGAGAGUUCUGCUGAAACUGGCCCUGAAGCGCGC